AACGAACGCUGGCGGCAUGCCUAACACAUGCAAGUCGAACGAAGGCUUCGGCCUUAGUGGCGCACGGGUGCGUAACGCGUGGGAAUCUGCCCUUUGGUUCGGAAUAACAGCUGGAAACGGCUGCUAAUACCGGAUGAUGACGAAAGUCCAAAGAUUUAUCGCCAGAGGAUGAGCCCGCGUUGGAUUAGGUAGUUGGUGGGGUAAAGGCCUACCAAGCCGACGAUCCAUAGCUGGUCUGAGAGGAUGAUCAGCCACACUGGGACUGAGACACGGCCCAGACCCCGACGGGGGGCGGGGGUGGGGAAUAUUGGAAAAGGGGCGAAGGCUUGAACCAGCAAUGCCGGGUGAGUAAUGAAGCCCUGGGGGUUGAAAAGCUUUUUUCCCGGGGAAGAUAAGGAUUGUCCGGGGAAAAAAAGCCCCGGCUACCCCCGUC
rnacentral:rRNA from 1 species